GGAAGCCGGUGAAAAUCCGGCGCGGUCGCGCCACUGUGACCAGGAUGCGAAAGCAGGCUGGAAGUCAGAC
rfam:Rhizobium gallicum bv. gallicum R602, complete genome.